GACAGAGGGUGCAAACGUUGUUCGGAUUUACUGGGCGUAAAGCGCGUGUAGGCGGCUUGGCAAGUCGGAUGUGAAAGCCCACGGCUCAACCGUGGAAGCGCAUCCGAAACUGCUUCGCUCGAGUCUCGGAGAGGAAGGUGGAAUGCUUGGUGUAGAGGUGAAAUUCGUAGAUAUCAAGCAGAACACCUGCGGCGAAGGCGGCCUUCUGGACGAUGACUGACGCUGAGGCGCGAAAGCUAGGGGAGCAAACGGG
rnacentral:rRNA from 1 species